GAAAAUAAAUAGAAUUUAAAGGCUGAAUUUGAAAAUUAAAAAUGAGAAAAGGAGCAAAUUAAAUCACGCGUAACAGAAGGAGGACCAAAAGAGCAAAUUAUCCAAACCGCUCAAGCACUGCGCAGCAACAUGGAUUGAACUAAAAACAGCAUUAAAAUAUAUUGCGUAAUUUAAAAAUAUAAAAAAAAACUGAUUUAAUCACCCAAAAAAAACAAAGGACCAAUAGUGCAAAUGGCCCAUUUUGAACCCAUUUCAAAACCCAAAACUCAUUUCCCCUCUGCCAUUUGAAGAUUUGCGCCGCAGCCUCUUUUCGCUUUCGCUCCAAAUCCUUUCCAUUUCCGACCAGAAGUCGAUGAAUCCGGGACACCCUCCGACGAUUCAGAACGGUAAGUCCUCCUCCCCUCACCCUUUUCGUGUUUUGUUCUUAGAAAGAAGGAAGAAAAACCACAAAACAAACAAAAAGAAAAACAAUCAAAUAAUAAAAGAUCCCAGAAAACAAAAUUAAUCACCUCUCAAAUCCUUGCUUUUCUAUUUUUCCUCUUUAUUUCCUUUAAUUUUCAAUACCAAAAUUUGCCAACCCUUUUUCAAAGAUUAAUCUCCUUUAUAUAGCCCUCUAAUUAUUUUUACAAGUUUUCUUUUGCUCCCCCCCUUGUUGAUGUCGUUCGUGGCUCAUUGUAGGCGUGGGCGUUGUGCGAGGACGCGGGGCGGUUACUGCGACGUGCGUGCUGAAACUGCUGCAACAGAGGCUGCUUCUAAGUUUCUGCUGUUUUGUUUUUGUUAUGGGCUAAUAUUUGGGCUAAUUUGGGUUUAAUCUAGGCUUGGGUUAAUUGGGUUUAGUAAUGGGCUAUUAGCUUUUUAGUCAGGCCAAAAUUGGCCUAUUACAUUAUUCACAGCAAUUAGAAUGAAUAGUUAUUCCAUCUAUACCUUUUAUUUCAUUAUUUAGUUUAAUUGAAUGAGUGAAACGGCCAGGUAGUAUUGUGGCCUCAUUUCAGUCUCUCACGGAAUAUCCAUUCCGUGCUAUAAUUAAAGAAUAGCCGUCAAAUAUUUUUUUUAUUCAAAAAUAUUCCAAACUAAAAACAUCAUAUUAACCAUAAUUUCAGUUUAUGAAUUAUAGCUAUGGAAGAAAAAAUAAGAAGAAAUAAAAAUUGAAACCCAAUCAUUACGAUUAAAUGCUUUCCCAACUUCGAAUUCAUCCAACAAUGUUGUUUUCACAGCUUCACUCUUACAUGUUCCAAACCCAGUAACGAAAUUUUAAAAAAUAAAACAAAACAAAAUAACCCAAAUCAGAAAGACAAAAAAAUUGUGAUGGACAAUGGGAGAUUAACAUAGGGGAGACUUUCAUGUAUGAAUCUAUAGGUUUUGGUGAGCUUUUAGGACAAAUUAAGCAAAAAAAAUUGAAAGAGUAGGUGGAGAUAAAGCUUUGGAGAGGAAGAUACAUGAGAAAAAAAGAGGACCAGAGGAGAAAGAGAAAAAGAAAGAAAUAGAUAAAACUCUAGAGAAAAGAAAGAGAUAAAAUCUCUAGAAAGCUCUAAUGGUUUUAAGAUCAAUUGGAUUAAUUAAGGUCUCUAAAAAGCUCUAAUGGUUUUAUUUAUUAUUGCAUUUAUUUUUCUUUAUUAUAGUCUUUUUUUAUUUUUUUUAUUUUCGGUAAGGCUGCUCUUUUGUUGUUUUGUUUUGUUUGGUUGUAUUUUUUUCCAUUUUAUAUUAAAUAAAUCCAAUUGGUUAUAUUCAAAAGAAAAAUAUAUAAUAAAAUAAUUUCAAAUAUAAUUUUUAGAUUUAUUUUUAAAUUUAGAAAAUUAAAUUUAUUGUUAAAUAAUGUUUUUAUUAUUAAAUAUAAAAUGUUAAAUUAUUUAUUUUCAAAUACUAUUUUUUUG
rnacentral:lncRNA from 1 species